CAGUGACCUCGAGGGACAGGACUGCCCCAGGAAUGAAAACCUCUCUCCUGUGUCAUCCUCCAAAGCCCAUGAACACCCAGCUGUCCAUAAAGGUGGCAAGAGCUUAAAACUCUCAGAGCAAGGACAGAGGUGACCAGCACUUGAAAAUCCCUGCCUGUGAUCAGCCUCAUCAUACAGCACGUUUGCCUGAACCUCUGUGCCACGCUGUUCACAGCAAAGUUUUGUGAAACACAUCAGAGCAUCAGCAGUUUUUGCUUCUCUAGGUCGUGGAAAACGUAA